rnacentral:rRNA from 1 species
CCCCGCGCGAACGCCCGCUAGAGGCUAAGUAAAUCCUGCUAUCAGUGAAGUCCGAGUAAAUUCAAAUAAUUAAAAAACUUUCAACAACGGAUCUCUUGGUUCUGGCAUCGAUGAAGAACGCAGCGAAAUGCGAUAAGUAAUGUGAAUUGCAGAAUUCAGUGAAUCAUCGAAUCUUUGAACGCACAUUGCGCCCUCUGGUAUUCUGGGGGGCAUGCCUGUUCGAGCGUCAUUGCAAUCUCAAGCCUGGCUUGGUUAUGAGCAUCGCCCUCCCCGGCGAGCCCGAAAUAUAGUGGCUGUCCAGCGAGACCUCAAGCGAACAAGAUACCUAUCGCGCUUUCGAUCGUCUCCGCUGCGACGUGCCUUGCCCCUAAAUUUUCCACGAUUGACCUCGGAUCAGGUAGGGAUACCCGCUGAACUUAAGCAUAUCAAUAAGCGGAGGAAAAGAAACCAACAGGGAUUGCCUCAGUAACGGCGAGUGAAGCGGCAACAGCUCAAAUUUGAAAUCUGGCCCUCCCGGGGUCCGAGUUGUAAUUUGGAGAGGGUGUUUUGGGUGAGGCGCCGGCCUAAGUCCCUUGGAACAGGGCGUCCGAGAGGGUGAGAAUCCCGUAUGCGGCCGGUGACCGAUCCUGUGUAAAACCCCUUCGACGAGUCGAGUUGUUUGGGAAUGCAGCUCUAAAUGGGUGGUAAAUUUCAUCUAAAGCUAAAUACCGGCCAGAGACCGAUAGCGCACAAGUAGAGUGAUCGAAAGAUGAAAAGCACUUUGGAAAGAGAGUUAAAAAGUACGUGAAAUUGUUGAAAGGGAAGCGCUUGCAACCAGACCUGUCGUCGGGUGAUCAGCCGCCGUUCUCGGCGGUGCACUCAUCCGUUCGC